rnacentral:rRNA from 1 species
UGCCAGCCGCCGCGGUAAUACGGAGGGUGCAAGCGUUAAUCGGAAUUACUGGGCGUAAAGCGCGCGUAGGCGGCUAAUUAAGUCAGGUGUGAAAGCCCCGGGCUCAACCUGGGAUGGUCAUUUAGAACUGGCAGACUAGAGUCUUGGAGAGGGGAGUGGAAUUCCAGGUGUAGUGGUGAAAUGCGUAGAUAUCUGGAGGAACAUCAGUGGCGAAGGCGGCUCCCUGGCCAAAGACUGACGCUCAUGUGCGAAAGUGUGGGUAGCGAACAGGAUUAGAUA